GGUAGGGGAGGAGACAGAGAGCAGGCGAAACGGGGAAGUGGAUGGGGCUGGCGGUGGGGAUCACCGCGGGCGUCGCUCUCAUCGUGGCCUUCGCCCGCCGCAGAACUCGCGCUGCAAGCACAGCCGCAGCUGGGAGGUUCAAGCCAGCUGAGAUUUCAGCCACGUUUUGGUGGAUUUCUUGCAGCAACUUCAGAGAAUCUUGUGUCUAUACUGGAUGUGGAAACACAGGCUUUUGUGAGGAUAUUUGAGGUUUGUAUCAGAUGGCUAUAACAUCUAUUUUUGUACAUCACAACUGGAUGCAAAUCUCUCGGUAUCUAUUUCUUUGUUUAACUGUUUAGUCAACCUUUUGGGAUUUCCAAUUAAACAAUUGAUAUGCACAUCUAGAUGCAAUUCUGAAAAGAACAUGUGUCUGAAGUGAUAGAUCAAUUGAUAUGUACAAAGUUCCUACUGAGAUAUGAAAUAUGCACAUGAACAGAACUGGACAAGCACAAAUUGCAUACAUCAUUACUCAAAUAAUCUGGACAAGCACAAGUAUUGAAUCCUGUCCCAUAUCCAAUGAAAUGUUUUCAUGGAGAUAAUCUUCUCCGAUUCCUCUUUUAUGUAUACACUUUGUGCGUAGACAUUGGAUUACGGUUGUAGCGACAAAAAUGUAUAACAGUAGUGGAGAUAGAAUUAGUGCUACUUCUUUGGCUGAAUCACAAAGGCAACACUCUUUUUUGUGAUAAGUGGGAGUAUACUUUCUUAGUUGCUGAUCACUGAAUGAUUCUUAUUUGACACAAUAUUGGGGUGAAUACGUUUGUGGGUACAAUAAAUAUUAGUAUACUGUUCUGGGUACAAAACCAGGAACACAAAUGAAGUGAAUGUUUGAAUAUUAAAAACCAUCGUUAAAUACAUUCAGCUCUGAAUAGCAAAGCGAAGAAGGUCUGUAAUAGGAAAUGGGCCAUAUAUCAUGAAGUUGAUCCUAAUUACCUUGUGAUACAGUCAGCUGUGUGUCUGCUUCGUUAGUUAGGCCAUUGAUCUUGGCAGCGGCAAAUUUUUUUUCCCAUCACAUGGCUCACCAACUUGAUCUUCUGCGGGAACCUUAUGUAAGAACAGGCCUGGCAAAAGAAGUACGGUCUCGCUUUCCUUUGCCACUCAAGUGUACGACAUCUGCCGUGCUUAGGCCCCUUCUUCCCUUCCCUAAUC